rnacentral:rRNA from 1 species
AGAGUUUGAUCAUGGCUCAGGACGAACGCUGGCGGCACGCCUAACACAUGCAAGUCGAACGGAGAUGAUCUGAGUUUACUUAGAUCAUCUUAGUGGCGGACGGGUGAGUAACACGUGAGCAACCUGCCUUUGAGAGAGGGAUAGCUUCUGGAAACGGAUGGUAAUACCUCAUAACAUACAGAUACCGCAUGGUGACUGUAUCAAAGAUUUAUCACUCAAAGAUGGGCUCGCGUCUGAUUAGAUAGUUGGUGAGGUAACGGCUCACCAAGUCGACGAUCAGUAGCCGGACUGAGAGGUUGAACGGCCACAUUGGGACUGAGACACGGCCCAGACUCCUACGGGAGGCAGCAGUGGGGAAUAUUGCACAAUGGGGGAAACCCUGAUGCAGCGAUGCCGCGUGGAGGAAGAAGGUUUUCGGAUUGUAAACUCCUGUCUUAAAGGACGAUAAUGACGGUACUUUAGGAGGAAGCUCCGGCUAACUACGUGCCAGCAGCCGCGGUAAUACGUAGGGAGCGAGCGUUGUCCGGAAUUACUGGGUGUAAAGGGAGCGUAGGCGGGACGGCAAGUCAGAUGUGAAAUACAUGGGCUCAAAGAAUGGGCUGCAUUUGAAACUGCUGUUCUUGAGUGAAGUAGAGGUAAGCGGAAUUCCUGGUGUAGCGGUGAAAUGCGUAGAUAUCAGGAGGAACACCGGUGGCGAAGGCGGCUUACUGGGCUUUUACUGACGCUGAGGCUCGAAAGCGUGGGGAGCAAACAGGAUUAGAUACCCUGGUAGUCCGCACGGUAAACGAUGGAUGCCCGCUGUUGGUCUGAAUAGGUCAGCGGCCAAGCGAAAGCAUUAAGCAUCCCACCUGGGGAGUACGCCGGCAACGGUGAAACUCAAAGGAAUUGACGGGGGCCCGCACAAGCGGAGGAACAUGUGGUUUAAUUCGAUGAUACGCGAGGAACCUUACCCGGGCUUGAAUUGCAGAGGAAGGAUUUGGAGACAAUGACGCCCUUCGGGGCCUCUGUGAAGGUGCUGCAUGGUUGUCGUCAGCUCGUGCCGUGAGGUGUCGGCUUAAGUGCCAUAACGAGCGCAACCCCUCUCCUUAGUUGCCAUCAGGUUAAGCUGGGCACUCUGGGGACACUGCCACCGUAAGGUGUGAGGAAGGUGGGGAUGACGUCAAAUCAGCACGGCCCUUACGUCCGGGGCUACACACGUGUUACAAUGGCAGGUACAGAGAGACGGUUGUACGUAAGUACGAUCAAAUCCUUAAAGCCUGUCUCAGUUCGGACUGGGGUCUGCAACCCGACCCCACGAAGCUGGAUUCGCUAGUAAUCGCGCAUCAGCCAUGGCGCGGUGAAUACGUUCCCGGGCCUUGUACACACCGCCCGUCAAGCCAUGAAAGCCGGGGGCGCCUAAAGUCCGUGACCGUAAGGAGCGGCCUAGGGCGAACC